UCUGGUUCUGUUGAUUGCUCUCCCAAAGGUGGUUGGUUUCUUUGUUUCUUCAGGGUCAAUUUGGCUGCCUGGGUUCCAGGAAUAUUCCUGACUCAGUCUUCCAUGUAAUUGGAUCAUGGACAUGUGCUGCCACCUUCUCCCUUGAUCAUCAGUGUGAAUGUGGGCCAGAUGUUACAUCACAAGCCUCUUAUCCAACCCUGGUACCAAGGAAGAACAGGUGAAAAGAUUGUAAGAAAGGGGAUGGAAGACACCAGGAGAACAAGGCCUUCUUAAUUAGCUGAGCAAGGCACACAUGAGCUCAGGGAGAUGGAAGCAGCAAGCACAGGCCCUACACCAGUCUGAACCAGAUUCCGUUGCGGGUUAAAGGACCACGGACAGAUGGGAAACGCAGACUCUACUUUGGGCUCAGGUCUCUAUGAACAACUGGAGGAACUCUGGACACUUGUCAAUGUGUAUCUUUGCAAGAAACAUAAGGAGGAGAACCUUGGGAGACUACAAUCAAGAAUUGUACAUUGUCUGAAAAGGUGUUAUAGGAAAAAAAUUCAAGUAGGCAUUUGGAAGUUUCUUCAACUAUUCCAACUUAAAGAAAGCAUCUAAUAAUAAUUCACAUUACGAAAUAUGAUUAAAAUGGGAUUUCAGUGAAUUUCCACAAAAUCCUUUAUCUUGUUUCGAAGGUAUUUAUGAACCCAUUUCUUCAUUGAAACAUUGCAAAUUAUCAGCAAUAGGAAGGAUUUGUCCUUAUUAGGUUAGGAAUAGGAGUAGAGGUAAAUUAACAGAAAUCCUAGUAUAUGGUGUGGAGAACAACCAUGUGUGUAGAAGAUGCAUAUUCAUAGAAUAGCUUACAUAAGAAACAUAAAAUGUUACUGUUCUUUGCUUUGGAAGUCAGUAAUUGUUUGACUGUGUCCCCUAAAAUUGCUGAGCCUUAAUGGUCACUAUAUUAGCACACAUGGUCUUUAUGAGGGCUGAGCAAUUAGAGCCAGCCAGGUCAGUCGACUGAAGCCCUUCUAACAGAUGCUUCAUGGAUAUUUGGGUUUCUGUCUGGGCCUUCUGUCUUUCACUUCCUAUUCCCUCUCCCCAACCUCUUUUACAGAGUUUAUGAUACACACUACAUUAGAACAUGUCUAAGAUUUAUAUAUUCUAUACACAGUGGUUAAAAUAGAGGUGGGGCUUUUCCAGGAAUAAUUCAAUAAUGAGAAAAGCCCAUGCUGUGUCCCGUUAUAGAACAGAAAAUGUCCUGCUGGUAUCAUUGUCAGAGAUGAAUGGAAAAAUGCCAUGUCCCAGUGUGGCAUUUCUUUGGGUUUAGUAGGCAGGCAAGGAAUUGUGACCAGUGCACAGUUUGGUGUUCGUUUGAGGGAGAAUGCCAUGUCCCAGUGUGGCAUUUCUUUGGGUUUAGUAGGCAGGCAAGGGAUUGUGACCAGUGCACAGUUUGGUGUUUGUUUGAGCUCCUUUUCAGUUUCUUCCCACAUGGUUUUCCCUGCAAGGAGAACCCUCUUGCAUUCAGUGCAUGCCCUUCACACCCUUUCAUGCCAGCUCCCUCACGUACUCCCUUUCUAUGUUUUCAUCACAUCAAGGAUCCUGAACUAACCCAGAAUCACAAUCACCUUUGACUUUGGUUGUGUAUUCCAUUUACAAUGUUGCAGAAGAGGGCAAUUAUACCACAUUCAUUUUUAACACAUUUCACAUUACUUAGCAGCUGUAAUCAGCCCAAAUUAUUGAGUUCAUUUUGCUAGUAAUGCCUAACAACAGGAUUUAAAUUUCUUGAGCUUGGCAUUAUUUGGUUGCUCUUUGCUUUACCAGUUUUGACUCUAUGAUUGGAAGUGUUAAUAAUAUAUAAAAUAAUAUAAAUGUAUAAAAAUUA